UGGAGGAAAGCAGGGGAUCGUAAGACCUUGCGCUUUUGGAGCGGCCGAUGUCUGAUUAGCUAGUUGGUGGGGUAAUGGCCUACCAAAGCUUCGAUCAGUAGCUGGUCUGAGAGGACGGCCAGCCACACUGGGACUGAGACACGGCCCAGACUCCUACGGGAGGCAGCAGUGGGGAAUUUUGGACAAUGGGCGCAAGCCUGAUCCAGCCAUGCCGCGUGAGUGAAGAAGGCCUUCGGGUUGUAAAGCUCUUUCAGCCGGGAAGAAAAGGCUGCGAUUAAUAAUCGCAGUUCAUGACGGUACCGGAAGAAGAAGCACCGGCUAACUACGUGCCAGCAGCCGCGGUAAUACGUAGGGUGCGAGCGUUAAUCGGAAUUACUGGGCGUAAAGGGUGCGCAGGCGGUUUUGUAAGUCAGAUGUGAAAUCCCCGGGCUUA
rnacentral:rRNA from 1 species